rnacentral:ribozyme from 1 species
CAGUAACGCACCGAAAAAAAAAAACAAAAAAGAAUCGAGAAAUGAUCUAUGGGUGAGUUACGCUACAUGCUUUGUUUUUCCUUCUUUUUUU